GACUGAGUGACUUUCACUUCAGCUAUGUUAUGGGAGAAAUAGAUCUUCGCUGGGGACUCACCAUGAGGAGGGGCAGCGUUUGGUUCACUAGCUUCUCCUUGUUGAUGAUGACCCUACUGGCACAACAACCUACAGUCAUUGUCUAGAUCAUCUGACAACUUGAUGGAAGCUAAGGAGUCUCUCCCCAGAAAAAGAUAUACUUUUAUUGAAGUAUAGUUGACUUACAGUGUUUCAGGUGGACAGCAAGGUAUUCAGUUGUACAUGUAUGUACACGUAUUAUUUUUCAGAUUAUUUUCUGUGAUAGGUUAUUACAAAAUAUUGACUGUAGUUCCCUGUGCUAUACAGUAAUUCUUUGUUGCUUCUUGUGUACUAGUUUUUUUAAAUUAUAAA